rnacentral:misc_RNA from 1 species
UGCUCGCGCAUCGAACUACAUACCACCUAUCCUUCUCAGUUUCCCAACGAGCAAUUUUUUGCUCGUUGACUAGAACAAGGGCCUGUGUUGCGUACCUAACCAAAGGAAUUGUUGAGUUUUGCCUCCAACAUUGGUUGCGGCAUCUCCUUCGAUGGGGAAGCCGUGAUCACACAAGUCGGCACUUGUCAUCCUUGCCGCUUGGCAUUAAAUGCCUCGUUUGCAUAGGCGGAUAAGCUGUCGGUCGAAAUCUCGGAUGCGGAACGGUUAUGGUUGGUGACUCGAAGCAAUUCAGUCCCACCGAAUCAUGUUUGCCCCUUUGGCAAAAGAUGACGGCCAAGUCUUCGCCUGUUCUUGCUAACCCAGCGUUUGCGAGAAUUAGUCGGGGACUUGCCGUGAUUUAUGAAUGCUACCUGGU